AUUGAACGCUGGCGGCAUGCCUUACACAUGCAAGUCGAACGGUAACAGGUCUUCGGAUGCUGACGAGUGGCGAACGGGUGAGUAAUACAUCGGAACGUGCCUAGUAGUGGGGGAUAACUACUCGAAAGAGUGGCUAAUACCGCAUGAGAUCUACGGAUGAAAGCAGGGGAUCGCAAGACCUCGUGCUACUAGAGCGGCCGAUGGCAGAUUAGGUAGUUGGUGGGAUAAAAGCUUACCAAGCAGACGAUCUGUAGCUGGUCUGAGAGGACGAGCAGCCACACUGGGACUGAGACACGGCCCAGACUCCUACGGGAGGCAGCAGUGGGGAAUUUUGGACAAUGGGCGCAAGCCUGAUCCAGCAAUGCCGCGUGCAGGAUGAAGGCCUUCGGGUUGUAAACUGCUUUUGUACGGAACGAAAAGCCCUGGGUUAAUACCCUGGGGUCAUGACGGUACCGUAAGAAUAAGCACCGGCUAACUACGUGCCAGCCGCCGCCGUAACAC
rnacentral:rRNA from 1 species